CGCUAUCAUCCUACGGGAGGCAGCAGUGGGGAAUAUUGCACAAUGGGGGAAACCCUGAUGCAGCCAUGCCGCGUGUGUGAAGAAGGCCUUCGGGUUGUAAAGCACUUUCAGUAGGGAGGAAGGUAGUGUAGUUAACACCUGCACUAUUUGACGUUACCUACAGAAGAAGCACCGGCUAACUCCGUGCCAGCAGCCGCGGUAAUACGGAGGGUGCGAGCGUUAAUCGGAAUUACUGGGCGUAAAGCGCAUGCAGGCGGCCUGUUAAGUCAGAUGUGAAAGCCCGGGGCUUAACCUCGGAAUUGCAUUUGAAACUGGCAGGCUAGAGUCUUGUAGAGGGGGUAGAAUUUCAGGUGUAGCGGUGAAAUGCGUAGAGAUCUGAAGGAAUACCAGUGGCGAAGGCGGCCCCCUGGACAAAGACUGACGCUCAGAUGCGAAAGCGUGGGGAGCAAACAGGAUUAGAUACCCUGGUAG
rnacentral:rRNA from 1 species